rnacentral:tRNA from 1 species
AUAUUAUUAAUUUAUAAUAUACUAUUUUGGCAGAUUAGUGCAAUAAAUUUAGAAUUUAUGAAUGUAAUAUUAUUUACAAAUAGUACUUGUUUUAU